rnacentral:rRNA from 1 species
CAGCAGCCACGGUAAUACGAACCGUGCGAACGUUAUUCGGAAUUACUGGGCUUAAAGCGCGUGUAGGCGGGCCGCCACGUCGGUUGCUGAAAUCCCCCGGCUCAACCGGGGAAGUGGCAUCGAUACGAGCGGCUUUGAGGGGGGUAGGGGGAUCUGGAACUUCCGGUGGAGCGGUGAAAUGCGUUGAGAUCGGAAGGAACGCCCGUGGCGAAAGCGAGGUCCUGGACCCUUUCUGACGCUGAGACGCGAAAGCCAGGGGAGCGAACGGGAUUAGAUACCCCUGUAGUCCCUGUCUCUUAUA